AACGAACGCUGGCGGCAGGCUUAACACAUGCAAGUCGAACGCCCCGCAAGGGGAGUGGCAGACGGGUGAGUAACGCGUGGGAAUCUACCCUUUUCUACGGAACAACUGAGGGAAACUUCA
rnacentral:rRNA from 1 species